CAAAAAGUAAAUCAAAAUUACAGCUUAUUUUGAGUGACACUAGCAAUUCUAUGUCGAAUUCAUUUUAAAAUGUCUGUUUGUACACAAAUGUAACAGCUGCAUUUUUCACAGGAGGUUCAACAUAGCCACAACCCAAAUAAAUGUCUGUCUGCUGAUGACUGGGUGAAUUAAAUGUGGUACAUCUAUACAAUGGAAUAUUAUUUGGCAAUGAAAACAAAGUACUGACACAUGCUGAAAUAUGGAUGAACCUCCACAAGUUAUGCCAAAUGAAAGCAGCCAAAGGAUAAAGAAUACAUGUUGCAUGAUUCCACUUCUAUGACAUGUUGGAAAAGGAAUUUUCCAACUAGCACUGGGACGCCUAGCAGGGGAGACUGGCAGCAGGUCUGAAUAAUGCAUUCAAGAUAAUUUCAAAAAAUCACUCUUUAACGAGUACCAGAUUACCUCCAAUUUUCCCUUAUAUAUGAUUCACCAUUUUGCAAAUAUUGAUGUAUAAAGAAUGCGUUGAAUGUUGCAAAAGUUGAAGAUAGCCCCUGUGGAUAAGACCUAAUGGACACCAUCCUGAAAUAAUACGUACAGCUCAGCCCUCAGACAUGUGUCUUCAAUUUAAAAUAAUUCAGCAAUCAUGUUUGACCAGAACCUGAUUACACAAAAUGGAACUUUUUAACUCCCAGACUUGAAUCAAAUUUUGAGGCCACACAAAAAAAAAAGGGGGCAGGGGGAGAUAAUAUGUACCAUGUUUAUAUAUUCCAGAAACUGUAUUAAAUGACCCACACAGGGGUUUAACUGUUUCUCUGAACUUAUCAAGACACCUCUUACCAUCUUCCACCUACAACUAUUUGCCUCACCUUUAUGAGAACCUGUGUGAAAGUCCUGAGCUGAGAUGCAAAGGGAAAGAAGCUGAAAAUCAAUUGAGUUCCUAUGUCUAAACAUUAUGGUUUCUAAAGCACAGAACUGGGUCUCACUGUCCACUUUCCUGGAGGCCCAGGAGGGAGGAGACAGGGCUGGACAUAGUUAGCUCUCCCUUGGUCACACUGGGGAGCCCAGCACACCUUGUCUGCUGUGGUCACCAGAAGAUGCUCUGCUCGCCUUUGAUCUUUUACUCUGUCCCCACUGCCUCCCUUCUCCCUGUCACUCACUAUUCAUGGUCUCCUCUCUUAUAGGCAAGUCGGACCCCUGGCCAUAUUAUGACUUCUAAGAUACUAAGAAGUCCCCCUGAAUCCUUUCCCUUGGAUAGAUAGCCUAAGUCUUGAACUGCUAUUAUGAUCAGGGACUUACUACUUUCAGUCCCUUUGAUCAGAAGAAAUAGUGGAUAUUAAAAUGUUUAACGAAUCCCAAGCAAUGGUCUCUAGUGAUAAGAUUGCCAGAUAAAAUGUAAAUGCCCAGUUCAAUUCAAAUUUUACAUAAACAACAAUUGUUUAGUAUGUGUAUGUGCCAAAUAUGGUAUGUGGCAUACUAAACUAUUGUUUGUUGUUUAACUGAAAUUCUAAUUUAGUUGGGUAUUGCCUCUUUUAUUUGCUAAAUCAGGCAACUCUACCUAGUCACCACCCGUAUAUGGUAUAUUGGACAAAGGACCUCGUAGGUGGGAAGGUUGGGAAAAUCAUUGUAACAUGACCACCUUCACUUCACUGAGAAAAAGGCAACAGGCCAGUUUAUUUUACCCAAGUUAUUAAAGCCUCGACCCCCAGGAUCUGAUGGUCUAAAACUUGGGCAGCAUAAACCUGGGCAUACUAGGAAUCAAGGUUUUUGUGCAUUUGUUUUCAGUAAGAUGAACAUAUUCAGAAUGGGUGAUUUUCUUUUUAAAUGGGUAAUAUUUCUACUUUUCCUUUUGUUUACAGGUCUUAUGUGUAUUUUAUGGGUUAAAAGAAGAAAGCAGGACCAUUUGGGGUACUGGCCAAGGGAUAAGGGCCCACUGCUUUGGAGUCUGACUUCUGGGUCUGAAUGGCGGGGCUGGUGGGGGUGGGCACGAACUGGCCAAGAAGCCCUCCUUAGUAGAUGGUGUGCUGGGCAGGGGGCUGCUGGUAGUGUUGGGGCAUCUACAAACUGGUUUGCCUCAAAAGAUCUGUUUCUAAAAAUAAAAAAGCGAAAUUCACAAGUGAUUUGUUCCGCCCAUAAAUUAGAGUAGACUCAGUGUUACCUCUUUAAUAACUGCCCUGUUAAUAAUCACUUGCAUGCCAGGUGGGAGAGAAAGGCAGCUUGAGAGUCAGUGCUGUGGGAAUUCCUGGUAAACUGGCUCCCCAAAGAUCAGUCAUUCUUGUGAAUAUCAACUGUCACAUGUGCUGGGACAAAAGAUUAGAUUGAGAUUCAACUGCUCUCAGAUACCUCCAGGAGCAGAAACCGAGUGGCACUUCCUCAGCACUCCAAGGCUUGGUUCCUGCCUGCAAGAGCUCUGAGUUCAAACAAAGGGGAAGGAGCAUUUUCUGAAGAGAUUGAAGAUGAAGGAUUCUGAAGGCAAUUGAAGGUGUUGAGAGGGGUCUGGGAGAGGCUGAGCAGGGAAGAAAAAGGACAAAGCAUCUUGGAAGGAGAAUAGGAGUGUGAACACAUUGCUACCAGGACCUGCCAUUGAGAAGAAACUGGCACUAGCAGUUCUAAGAGGCACCGAAAAUUCGGCUAGCUGUGAAGUUUUCAAAGUCUGUAGCCCUUGCCAUUCUCCGGUGGCUACACAGAAGGGUAAGCAAACAUCUUCAUACCAAAAGGAUGGGAGAUAACGACGUCAAAUAGGAUUCAACUAGAUGAUGGGGCAGGAAGGACGCUGUUUACAACUCCAGGAUUCAGUGUAGCAGGUUCUAAUACUUCCUUGCCCAGUAACCCCCUGACAAUGGGAACCUGAGGCAACCCAGUAAGGACAAGGCCAUGGGGUACUCAGCCACCCCAACUGCACGUUAAUCAUCCUGUCAGAUGAGGAGCCUCUUCGACAGAGCUGUUGGACGAUGGUGGGGGACACAGAAAGAGGGUGGAAGAAGGCAGCUCUGAUUACCGACUUGGGCUUCCUGACCAACUACCCAAGUGGGGUGAGGUAGGAUCCUCUAUUCUACUUCCACCUGUAUAUUUCCCCAAGUCUGAGAAGUAAAGCAGCAGAAGGCCCUUGAAUAGUAUAAUGAAUAGUGGCGUUGUCAUCCCACGUCCCAUAGAAGGGUGGUCUAGAGCUUAGGGCAUGGAUCAUGUUCUCAGAGAGGUGAGAGAAGGGUUCUUAGCUUUUGACUGAGCUAAUUAAAUAAAAUAAAUAAACCAAGAGUCUAGUCAAAAAAUUGAGAAAAUUGAAAUACAGUAUCCCAAGAUUUUCUGAAUAUGAAAACGUUGUUAUUUUGUAUAAGAAAAGACAUUCCUUGCCCUUUUCUCUCAGUCUUGAUAAUACUGAAAGAGCAAGAGCCUAUGAUCUUUGAAUAAAUGACAUUGCUUCUCAAGAAAGGAGAUUCACAAAUUUACAAUCACACACAUUCACAUUAUAUCAUUCCCCUUACUUUUCUGGGUCCAUAAAAGCUGUGUUACAAACUGGCAUUUGGAAACAAAUGGCUUACAGAAUACAAUUAUCACUUACAGUUUCUGAAUAUAUCCAUAAUAUAUAUGUCAGAUGUUUGCAUAUUAAAUGGAAUUCGUAUAUAUUACUUAAAUACUAUCUCCCAGCAGUUUCCUUAGUAGAAUUACUAUUGCUUUUGGCAAUA